GGCCCCAUGGUCAAGAGGUUAAGACACCGCUCUUUCAAGGCGGUAACACGGGUUCGAUUCCCGUUGGGGCCACCA
rnacentral:tRNA from 1 species